GAUGGACGCUGACAGAAUGCUUAACACAUGCAAGUCAACUUGAACUUCGGUUUGGGUGGCGGACGGGUGAGUAACGCGUAAAGAACUUGCCUCACAGUUAGGGACAACAUUUGGAAACGAAUGCUAAUACCUGAUAUUAUGAUUUUAGGGCAUCCUAGAAUUAUGAAAGCUAUAUGCGCUGUGAGAGAGCUUUGCGUCCCAUUAGCUAGUUGGAGAGGUAACGGCUCACCAUGGCGAUGAUGGGUAGCCGGCCUGAGAGGGUGAACGGCCACAAGGGGACUGAGACACGGCCCUUACUCCUACGGGAGGCAGCAGUGGGGAAUAUUGGACAAUGGACCAAGAGUCUGAUCCAGCAAUUCUGUGUGCACGAUGAAGUUUUUCGGAAUGUAAAGUGCUUUCAGUUGGGAAGAAAAAAAUGACGAUACCAACAGAAGAAGUGACGGCUAAAUACGUG
rnacentral:rRNA from 1 species